rnacentral:pre_miRNA from 1 species
AUGUAAUUUUAGAUUCCUCCACUUUAAUUAGUCCCUCAUUUUUCAUGCCAUGUAUGCAGAUUCGGCUGACAUGGUGGAAUGAGGGACCAAAAGUGGAAGAAUAUGAAAUUACAG